UCACUUCUCUUCACCCUCUUCACCCUGCCAUCUUCUCAGAGACAAAAACAGAGAAAACAAGGAGAUCUGGGAGACGGAAAAGGGAAAAGGAGAACACAGACUAUAUCCGCAGAUGGGGAACUGGAUGCCCAGAUACCAUAGGGACGGGUUCCUUCAUUUCCAAAACCAGACCAAAGAACAUCAGCUUUCUGGGUCCAGGAACAACCUUGGUUCCCUUGCUUUUCUGAAAAGAAGCCUUAAAAGUAUGUCGACCGUGGAGAAAGACAUCCUGUGAUUGUAUUGUGUCCACUGAAAAGUAAGAACCACAAGAUAAGGACCACGGGACUGAAGGAUGCUGUCCCACUCCCAGCCCCAACGCUUUGAAAAGUGCCUUUAUAAGCCUCGCACACUACCCCUUCAGAGAUCGACAUUCCUUUUUCUUGAUGGCUCCUUUGUACACAAGCUAUCUCUAAUAAACUCCACCUGCUUCCUUUA